UCAUGUCGAUAGCACAAUCAUCUGAUCAUGCCAAACAAAUAACGGGGAAGGUGAUUAUGACAGCAAUGCAAAAAGCUACUAAAGUGAUAGUGACCAGGCUUGUUCUGGAUUCCUAUUUAAUAAGGUAUUUUAAUAAGUGAAAGACCUGCUUCACUCAGUGUUUUUCAGCAGUGAACAGUUGAAGACACUGCACUUCUCAAACCUUUAUCUGUUUCAUGAAUGAACAGUGUGAAACAUGAACUGGCUGAGAUAAUUUUUAUAUUUGGAAAAGUCAUAGAUCCAGUGACAGGAAAACUCUGUAAGAAUUACCAACCUGGAGAGUUCAGUCAGUUUGGGAACUAUCCAGCUAAACAAAAAUCUAGAAGCACUCAAAAUCUUUUCAACA
rnacentral:lncRNA from 1 species